NNNNNNNNNNNNNNNNNNNNNNNNNNNNNNNNNNNNNNNNNNNNNNNNNNNUCGGAGGGCUGACUUUGGGCUGCUCAGGACACUAGUUGGUGGAGUCCCUUGGGAGGCGGUUCUGAAGGGCAGAGGGGUCCAGGAAGGCUGGGCGCUCUUCAAGAGGGAAAUCCUAAUGGCGCAGGAGCGGUCUGUUCCCAUGUGCUCAAAGACGAGCCAGCGGGGAAGAAGACCAGCCUGGCUCAACAGAGAACUGUGGCUUGAGCUUAGGAGAAAAAAGAGGGUUUAUAAUCUUUGGAAAAGUGGGCAGACUACUAGGGAGGACUAUAAGGAUGUAGCGAGGCUGUGCAGGGACAAAAUUAGGAAGGCCAAAGCUCAUCUGGAGCUCAGUCUGGCUACUGCUGUUAAAGAUAAACGUUUUUAUAAAUACAUCAACACAAAAAGGAGGACUAAGGAGAAUCUCCAUCCUUUACUGGAUGCGGGGGGAAACUUAGUUACAAGAGAUGAGGAAAAGGCGGAGGUGCUUAAUGCCUUCUUCGUCUCAGUCUUUAGCGGCAAUACCGGUUGUUCUCUGGAUACCCAGUACCCUGAGCUGGUGGAAGGGGAUGGGGAGCAGGAUGUGGCCCUCACUAUCCAUGAAGAACUGGUUGGUGACUUGCUACGGCACUUGGAUGUGCACAAAUCAAUGGGGCCGGAUGGGAUCCACCCAAGGGUACUGAGAGAACUGGCGGAGGAGCUGGCCAAGCCCCUAUCCAUCAUUUAUCAGCAGUCCUGGCUAUCGGGGGAGGUCCCAGUUUACUGGCGGCUAGCAAAUGUGACGCCCGUCUACAAGAAGGGCCGGAGGGCAGACCCGGGAAACUACAGGCCUGUCAGUUUGACCUCAGUACCAGGGAAGCUCAUGGAGCAGAUCCUCUUGGGAGUCAUCAUGCGGCACUUGCAGGGCAAGCAGGCGAUCAGGCCCAGUCAGCAUGGGUUUAUGGAAGGCAGAUCCUGCUUGAUGAACCUGAUCUCCUUCUAUGACAAAGUGACGCGCUGGGUGGACGAGGGAAAGGCUGUGGAUGUGGUCUACCUUGACUUCAGCAAGGCAUUUGACACCGUCUCCCACAGCAUUCUCCUCAAGAAACUGACUGCUCUUGACUUGGACUAGCGCACGCUUCGUUGGGUUAGCAACUGGCUGGAUAGCCGGGCCCAAAGAGUCGUGGUAAAUGGAGUCAAGUCCAGUUGGAGGCCAGUCACUAGUGGCGUCCCCCAGGGCUCGGUGCUGGGGCCGGUCCUCUUUAAUAUCUUCAUCAAUGAUCUGGACAAGGGCAUUGAGGGCACCCUCAGUAAGUUUGCAGAUGACACCAAGCUAUGGGCAUGUGUCGAUCUGCUCGAGGGUAGAAAAGCUCUGCAGGAGGAUCUGGAUAGGCUGCACCGAUGGGCUGAGGUCAACUGCAUGAAGUUCAACAAGGCCAAGUGCC
rnacentral:lncRNA from 1 species